UACGUAGGGUGCGAGCGUUGUCCGGAAUUAUUGGGCGUAAAGAGCUUGUAGGCGGUUUGUCGCGUCUGCCGUGAAAAUUCGAGGCUCAACCUCGAACUUGCGGUGGGUACGGGCAGACUAGAGUGUGGUAGGGGAGACUGGAAUUCCUGGUGUAGCGGUGAAAUGCGCAGAUAUCAGGAGGAACACCGAUGGCGAAGGCGGAUCUCUGGGCCAUUACUGACGCUGAGGAGCGAAAGCGUGGGGAGCGAACAGG
rnacentral:rRNA from 1 species